rnacentral:lncRNA from 1 species
UUUUUAUUUUUAUUUUUUUCAGUAUAUUUGUUCUUUUUUUUAAUAAUAAAUUUAUUUUUUAUGGGUGUUCAAUUUGCCCACAUACAGAAUAACACCCAGCGCUCAUCCCGUCAAGUGCCCCCCUUAGUGCCCGCCACCCAGUCACCCCCACCCCUAAUUUUUUUCCUAGAGUUAGGAGUCUUCAUGUUCUGUCUCCCUUUCUGAUAUUUCCUACCCAUUUCUUCUCCCUUCCCCUCUAUUCCCUCAAAGAGUUAAAAAUAGACCUGCCCUACCACCCAGCAAUUGCACUGCUGGGGAUUUACCCCAAAGAUUCAGAUGCAAUGAAACUCUGGGCCACCUGCACCCCGAUGUUUCUAGCAGCAAUGUCCACAAUAGCCAAACUGUGGAGGAGCCUCGGUGUCCAUCGAAAGAUAAAAAUAUUUUAUUUAUUUAUCUGAGAGAUAGAGCAUGCACACAAGCGGGGAGAAGGAGAAGGGUGAGGCAGCAGCAGACUCCCUGUGGAGUAGGCAGCCAGACGCGGGGCUCGAUCCCAGGACCAUGAGAUCCUGACCUGAGCUGAAGGCACUUAACUGACUGAGCCACUGAAGAUCCCCUCAUCUUUUGUUUUAAAGAACAAACAAGGCAGCCAAAAUACUCUAUGCCUUUCUUCUUCCUUCAGUUUUACAGGUAGCUGUUUUUCUCUAGCUUGUUGCUGCGGAAUGUUCUCAUGCUUUUAUCCAACAUUGGAAAGAUGACCUGCUGGCUUUCCAGGUUCUCAGCUAUUCCAAAGUAUGCCCAUUCUGUUAGGGGUGAUCCUGUCUCCUCUUGGCCUGUAGCCUUCUUGAUGAGACAUGGAGAUCAGGGAAUCCCAUCUCCUUUGCUCAGAUCUCUUUACUGAGCUCCUGGAACACUCUUCUAGAUUCCUCUUCCUCCUGUCCAGCCUACCCUGGGGGCUGGAGCCAGGUGGCCACUGACCCUUGCCUGACCACAUGCACUGACCCAGUUCCUGGAGGCAGUCUUCUGCCAUAGGCAGCCCAGCUCAGCUGCUGCCAAAGAACCUUUCAUGGACAUUGGGUAACUCUGAUUUCUCAUCACUUCUUGCAAUUAAUGGAAGAGUCCAGAGGGCCUACAAGCACACAGUAUUCUUGGUUUGGCUAUAGUACAAGGAAUUUAUAAAUACUGAAAUCAUUAGUCUGCUAAGAGUUUUUAAUAUAUUCCACUUUGUGUCAGCCAUGCAUAUAAGAAUUUUAGUUUUCUUCAUCCCUGGUCUUGUAUGGUUCUUACAAGGUGCUUCAUGGAAUGAAAUCAAAAGAGUUCAUUAGUUGAAGAUAAAGCUGCAUAGCAAACUGAUGGGGCUCCCUAAGAAAGUAUGUCAGGAAGAGCUGCUUAAACCAAGACUUGUGUCAUAUUUAAUUUGCCACUGAAGGUUGGGAUGAUAAUUGCAGGAUGCAAAAGUAUCAGAAAAUGAGUGUGUAGGGCUGCAUAAAACGGGUGUGACAAUACUCACAGGCAUUCUCAAAUGAAAGAGUCCCCAAGGAAGCCUGGUGGGGGUUGCUGCAGAGCCCAACUAAGGGAAGGGGAGGCUGGUGAACACCAGACAUGUUGUUGGGCCAGUCCUUAAGUACUCAGCCCUGUAGGAAAGCAAAUUCUUCCCAGAAACAAACUGUUCCAGAGAGUUUUCUUAUUUUAUUUUACCCAUUUUGGAUCAAGCUACUCUUAUUUGGAUCUAGCACCUCCCUGACGGCCUAAACAGAGUGAACAUGACCUCUUCCUGAUGGCUCAGACUCACCCUGAUGAGCAUGAUCAGUGAGGUCCAGGGACAGGACUUCUGAUGAGUGGACAGUGUACAGUCAAGUGCCCCUGGAACACCAGACCUCUUUGGUUCUUCCAUCAGCUUUCUCUCCUUUGUCUGUCCUUUCUCUGGUCACCGGGGUCACCUGCCUCUCAGGCUGCUACAGUUCCCACUCUUCACAGCACUUCUCCCCUGAGGACCUGAGAGGAAGGGACUACCUCCACCUGCACGUCUGGGGUAAGAGUCAGGGCAGGUGAGGGGCCCACUGGACUCUCUGCCUUCUUAAGAGCUCAGCAUGCAAUGCUCUGUGACCCUUUUUUGCUCUGUUUUUCCAGGCAAAAAAUAGCCAGAGAUGAAAUAGCCAGAGAAAUGGAUUUUAGUGAGGUGCAGCUUUCCUAAAAGACCAGGGCUACUGGUGCCAGCACGCACACAACGACUGCUAACAGUGACAGCAGUCCAGCUUCGAGCUUCCUCCCUCUCCACUCACCAUGCAUCAGGCUCACAUUUGAGCUCUUUUUUCGCUACCACUGAUGGAAAAUAACUGGUUAAGGCUGUGCUUCUCAAAUCUGGCUGGGCCGCAGAAUUAGUUGGAGGGCCACUAAAAUACAGACCCCUGGGCCCCUCAGAGAUUGUGACACACAGCCUCGUUGGGAAGGCCAGGUCCAGAAGCAAGAGACUGACACCCAAUUUCAUGUUCUCUUGGGGGGCCUAGUAGACGUGAGGGCAGCACUGAGACCACACUGAAUGCAUCUGGAGAGGAAUGGAAGGUGCCCCUCACCGCAGGCCUGGGGGCCAAGCCAUGGUUGCACUGCUCCGUGCAAUGCAUCUGGUCCCUCAAAACAGCACCGCCAAGUGCUCCGGUUCGACAUGUGCAACUGUCCUGUCUACCCUGGAGAAAUGCUGAAAUGCAUUUGUCACUCCAGUGUGUCGCUCUGAAUGCCAGGGCUGCGGGAGGUAUAAAAGAACGAGGUGGGGGGUGCCUAUUUAACCCCACAGUAGGGUCGUCCACUGAUGCCCACUGCCUCACAGGCAGGCCUGCUCUGAUUUAAUCAGACACAACAAUUAGUAGUGGUAAAUGUAGAGAAAGGCAAAUAAUUUGAUUCGCUGGAGUGUAAUGGAGUAACAGGACUCACAGCAUUUUUGAUACUAAAAAUAGCAUAAGAACCCUUACUUCAGAACUCUCUGCCCUUUACACGGUUUUCACCUGACUCCAUUUCCCUGUGCGCUCACAUCACGCGGUUUGAAAUGUGCUUUCUGUGGUAUCUGAUUCCAUGUGGGAGCUUUCCCCCAUCCAUCUUCCUUUUUGUUACUUCAGGGGAGAAACAGCCCUGGGAAAGCUUUUAUGCUGUCUGCUAUUGUUCUGCAUUUAAGUAAAAAAGUACAUGCUGCUUAAUCUGGGCCUUGAGACCAGGCCCACUGGCAGAUUUCAUAAGCUUUAAAUCUGUGUUAAAAGUGCCAAAGUAGGGGCGCCUGGGUGGCUCAGGCAAUUAAGCGUCUGACUCCUGAUUUCAGCUCAGGUCAUGAUCCCAGGGUUGCGAGAUGGAGCCCCAUGUUGCGGGGGGGGGGGGGGGUCCGUGCUCAGUGGGGAGUCUGCUUGAGAUUCUCUCUCCUCUUUGCUCCGCUUCUCCCCCACAACCAACCCUGCUCAUGUGCUCUCUCUCUCUCUCUCUCUCUCAAAAUAAAUAAAAAUUAAAAAGGAAUUUUUAAAAAUGCCAGAGUUAAAUGACCUCCAGUCUGCAAAACCAGCAGAAAGCAGCCCUGCCUGCUUCAAGUCUCAACCAGCUGUCUGCUUCCAGGAUCCACCAGGGUCUGAGCCUGUCUGACCUCAGGGAAGGGGCUGUCCUGUUCCCCCACCCCCGAGAACCCACAUAAUAAGGUUUCACAAUUACAUCUGCAUGAUCCCCUACUGUCAUGCAUGUGCUUAAGCUUUUUUUUUUUUUUUUAAGUUGUGGUAAAAUAUACAUUACCACCAAAAUAUUUUACCAUCUUAAUCAUCUUUAAUGAACAGUUCACUGGCCUUAAGGACAUUUUCAAUGUUGUGCAACCAUUACCACUAUCUAUCUCCAGAACUUUUCCAUCUUCUCAAACUGAAACCCUCUGCCUAUUAAAUAUUAUCUCCCCUCCACCUGGCCCCUGGCAACCACAAUUCUACCUUCUGUCUCUAUGAAUGACCAACUUCAGGACCUUAUAUCAGUGGACAUCGUGUAAUAUUUGUCCUUUUGAGUCUGGCUUCCUUUACUUAGCAUACUAUCUUCAAGUUUCAUCCGUGUUGUAGCGUGUGUCAGAAAUUUCUUCCUUUUGAUGGCUGAGUAAUAUUCUAGUUAUGUAUACAGCACAUGUCCUUAAGCUUUUGAUUCCAAAAACGCCGAAAAAAAUCCCUUCAACUUGCUGAAAAGGCUAGGAUCCCACACUCAUUUUCAAUACGUGCAAAUCUAAUAGACAAAUGAUCUAUUGGGAGGUCCACAACAUGGUCGCAAGGGCCCACCUUCCCUUCCCCGAGUUAUGGCUUGAAACCCGGCAUCCCAGCACCCCACAUCAGAAGACAGGAGAAACCCUGUGGUGAAGAGCACUUGAGUUCCCAUCA